GGUGGCAAGUGAUGCAGAAAGUAUUCUUAUGCUAAACACUGAAUCACAUAUGUGGACUAAAAACUCCGCUUAUUAUCUGAUGCCACC